rnacentral:rRNA from 1 species
AUUGAACGCUGGCGGCAGGCUUAACACAUGCAAGUCGAACGAGGGGCGGGCGGGUGUGUAAUGCUGUGGAAUCUGGCAUAUGGAGGGGGAUAACUACGGGAAACUGUAGUAAAAACCGCGUACCAUCGGUAGAGCACAAGUGGGCUUUGGUAGUUGGUGAGGAAAAGGCUAACAAAGCAGACGAUCUCUAGCUGGUCUGAGCGGAUGACCGGCCACACUGGGACUGAGACACGGCCCAGACUCCUACGGGAGGCAGCAGUGGGGAAUCUUGCGCAAUGUGGGCAACCUGACGCAGCCAUGCCGCGUGAAUGAAGAAGGCCUUCGGGUUGUAAAGUUCUUUCGGUAGCGAGGCGUUAACUACAGAGGAAGCACCGGCUAACUCCGUGCCAGCAGCCGCGGUAAUUC